rnacentral:rRNA from 1 species
GGUGAAAAGCACCCCGGAAGGGGAGUGAAAUAGAACCUGAAACCGUGUGCUUACAAGUAGUCAGAGCCCGUUAAUGGGUGAUGGCGUGCCUUUUGUAGAAUGAACCGGCGAGUUACGAUUUGAUGCAAGGUUAAGCAGUAAAUGUGGAGCCGUAGCGAAAGCGAGUCUGAAUAGGGCGUUUAGUAUUUGGUCGUAGACCCGAAACCAGGUGAUCUACCCUUGGUCAGGUUGAAGUUCAGGUAACACUGAAUGGAGGACCGAACCGACUUACGUUGAAAAGUGAGCGGAUGAACUGAGGGUAGCGGAGAAAUUCCAAUCGAACCUGGAGAUAGCUGGUUCUCUCCGAAAUAGCUUUAGGGCUAGCCUCAAGUGAUGAUUAUUGGAGGUAGAGCACUGUUUGGACGAGGGGCCCCUCUCGGGUUACCGAAUUCAGACAAACUCCGAAUGCCAAUUAAUUUAACUUGGGAGUCAGAACAUGGGUGAUAAGGUCCGUGUUCGAAAGGGAAACAGCCCAGACCACCAGCUAAGGUCCCAAAAUAUAUGUUAAGUGGAAAAGGAUGUGGCGUUGCCCAGACAACUAGGAUGUUGGCUUAGAAGCAGCCAUCAUUUAAAGAGUGCGUAAUAGCUCACUAGUCGAGUGACACUGCGCCGAAAAUGUACCGGGGCUAAACAUAUUACCGAAGCUGUGGAUUGUCCUUUGGACAAUGGUAGGAGAGCGUUCUAAGGGCGUUGAAGCAUGAUCGUAAGGACAUGUGGAGCGCUUAGAAGUGAGAAUGCCGGUGUGAGUAGCGAAAGACGGGUGAGAAUCCCGUCCACCGAUUGACUAAGGUUUCCAGAGGAAGGCUCGUCCGCUCUGGGUUAGUCGGGUCCUAAGCUGAGGCCGACAGGCGUAGGCGAUGGAUAACAGGUUGAUAUUCCUGUACCACCUAUAAUCGUUUUAAUCGAUGGGGGGACGCAGUAGGAUAGGCGAAGCGUGCGA